rnacentral:rRNA from 1 species
GCAGUAUUCUGACUGUGCGAAGGUAGCAUAAUAAAUUGUCUUUUAAAUGAAGGCUUGAAUGAAAGGUUGGACAAAGUGUCAGCUGUUUCUUAAAUAUUUAUUGAAUUUGACUUUCAAGUGAAAAGGCUUGAAUAAAUUAAAAAGACGAUAAGACCCUAUAAAUCUUUACAAUAAAUAUAUUUUAUAUUUUAGUUUAUUAAGUGUAUAAGAUAUUGAAUAUAUAGUUGUUUCGCUGGGGCGGCGUGGAUAUAUUAAUAAACUGUCUAUAUAUUAAAACCAAUAAUUAUUGAUUAAUAAGAAUGAUCCUUAAAUAGAUUAGAAGAUUAAGAUACUUUAGGGAUAACAGCGUUAUUUUUUUUGAGAGUUCUUAUCGAAGAAAAAGUUUGCGACCUCGAUGUUGAAUUAAAGUAUCUUUAUGGUGCAGCCGCUAUAAGAGAGAGUCUGUUCGACUUUUACAUACUUUACAUGAUUUGAGUUCAGACCGGCGUGAGCCAGGUU